rnacentral:rRNA from 1 species
GCAGACAGCGAACACGUGUUUAACACCGGCGGCGUGCGGCGGGGGCGAUCCCCGUCGUGCGCUCGUCUCCCCCGCCGGCGUGCUCCCUCGGGUCACGCCGUGCGGGCUAACGAACCCCGGCGCGGAACGCGCCAAGGAAUACCUAACGAAGCGUCCUCCCCCCGCACCCCGUUCGCGGACCGUGUGGGGGCGACCGGAUGUCUUACAAAUGUCACAACGACUCUCGGCAACGGAUAUCUCGGCUCUCGCAUCGAUGAAGAACGUAGCGAAAUGCGAUACUUGGUGUGAAUUGCAGAAUCCCGUGAACCAUCGAGUCUUUGAACGCAAGUUGCGCCCGAAGCCAUUUGGCCGAGGGCACGUCUGCCUGGGCGUCACGCAUCGCGUCGCCCCCCGCCCUGCGCUCGGCGCACGGGCGGGGAGCGGAAACUGGCCUCCCGUUCGCCCGGUGUGCGGCUGGCCCAAAUGCGAUCCCUCGGCGACUCGCGUCACGACAAGUGGUGGUUGAACACUCAAUCUCUUGCGUCGUCGUGCCGCUGUGUCGUUCUUACGGGUAUCGAACAACGACCCUGCGGUGGCGGUGCCUCACGGCUCCACACCUUCGACCGCG